CGUUGGUCUCUUCUCAUCGCUACGCGCUACCCGAAAUAGUACGUUUCCAGCACUCCGGGGACUUCAGCUUUGCUUCCGCUGAUCUGGAAGAAUGAAACGGACUGUAGGAGCCUGUGUAGCUGGCCACAAUCUCCAAGUACUACACAAAGUUAAAAGGUUGAUGCACUGUGGCCAGCUGCACAGGAAUGUAGCCCUUUUGUUGGGGGUUAAUGACAUUGUGGUAGGGUAAGUCAAGUGUUUGCUUAGUAGAUUUUUGUUACAGUAAUUAAAGAAUUUGGGAAAUAUUACCAAUUAAGAACAUUUUACUUUAACUUGCUCUCCAUGUUUAUUACAUACUUUGAUGAUUUGCUAGCAUAAUAAGAGAACUUUCAUGCCAAAGAUUGAUUUUUUCCCCUUUGUAUGAAGUAAAUUUCAUAACCAUAAUUUUAAAUUUAAAGCAAUGAACUCCAAAGAAAAUUUUUUUUUAUAGACUCAUGUAUUGUUGGAAAUUGAUCAAUUUCUCAAAGUCUAAAAAAGAAGUUUUCAAAAUUACCGUGAUAAAGAUAUUCUCCUCCUGUAGCCACUUCAAAUUGUUAUUGUGUUUACUGAAUACAUGAUUUAUGAUUCCAGAAAGGGGAAACUAUAAAAUCCAUGAAGCGGAAGCUGAAAAGCAUUCUCCGCUUCAUGGCUUUUCGCAGGAAGUGUGUUUUCCUGCUUACGGUACCCCCGUUCCGGAGAAUCGUCCAAAAUGAAAAGAAAAA